GACGAACGCUGGCGGCAUGCCUAAUACAUGCAAGUCGAGCGAACAGAUGAAGUGCUUGCACUUCUGACGUUAGCGGCGAACGGGUGAGUAACACGUAAGGGAUCUACCUAUAAGCGGGGGAUAACAUUUGGAAACGGGUGCUAAUACCGCAUAAUAUCUUCUUCCGCAUGGAAGAAGAUUGAAAGACGGCUCUGCUGUCACUUAUAGAUGACCUUGCGGUGCAUUAGUUAGUUGGUGGGGUAACGGCCUACCAAGACGAUGAUGCAUAGCCGACCGGAGAGGGUGAUCGGCCACAUUGGAACUGGGACACGGCCCAAACUCCUACGGGAGGCAGCAGUAGGGAAUCUUCCGAAAUGGGCGAAAGCCUGAAGGAGCAAUGCCGCGUGAGUGAAGAUGGCCUUCGGGUCGUAAAACUCUGUUAUAAGAGAAGAACAAAUUGUAGAGUAACUGCUACAGUCUUGACGGUAUCUUAUCAGAAAGCCACGGCUAACUACGUGCCAGCCGCCGCCGUAA
rnacentral:rRNA from 1 species